GUCAGGAGAAAAUGAGCUUUCCUUUUCUGCCGAAAGGAAUUUGGGGGAAAAUCUUUGCUUUUCCUUCACAAGAAACAAGUUUUAAGAAUUCAAUCAAUACAGACAAAUUUGACCAUUUUAUUUUCAUUUGACAUGUUUUACAUUUUACAACCAACAGACUCGGCUUCUCAACAGCUCCCGCUUCUCCCUGAAUAACUUUCUUCUUCAUGCUUUUUCGAGUUUGUUUGUUUGUUUGUUUGUUUGUUUGUUUGAGUUGGAAAGCAAACCUGAGUGUACCAGAAAGCAGGUUUACUCUGUGGGGAAUGGUGCAUUCGAGUCAAGGUCAAAACUUUCCAACCUUCAACUUGGAAAAACAACCCAGAGUUCAGCAAGUGACGUCCAACCAUCAUGGCGGCUCGCUGCAUCGACGGACCCAGGCUAAUCCAGGAUAUGGGCUUCAUACGACGUUUGUUUGAAGCUCGGUGCAACAUAUGAAUCAGUGCCUGUUUACCAGAAGCCUAUAGGUAAACCAGAAAAGUCUCAAACGAGCACUGUGAGUCCCCAAUCGAGUCACGGUGGAGCUCGAUCCUGAUUCAAUUUGUUCGUCUGCAGUGAUUAGGGGGUCUGUGUGAGGCUCUGCGCUGGAUCACAGAGAUGAGACCGGGCGCUGAAGCCAGGCAGCAGGUGGAUGAGUUUGCGGUUGGCGGGUGGUGGCGUGCCCGGUGCCUUCACCUUGUUUCGGCGGCGUAGUGGUGGUGUGCCUGGUGGCGUCAUGGUGUUCAUCACCAGUGGAGUGCGCGGG